GCCGUAAAAAACUUUGCAGACUAUCAAAAAGCAAGCCUCAAAUGCUAAGGCUUUGAAAAAUCGAAUAAAAAAGCAAGCCUCAGUGUGUUUAUGAAGUUAGAUUAUGUCUCCAAAUUUUUUGCUACCUAAUGAAGGAAUUUGUGAUAACUUGCAGUUGUAUUAAUCAAUGGCUGGAAAGAAUAGGGGGUGCGGCUGUCCAUGCUAUUUCUAGAAUGCGGGAAGUAGACUCCAGUGACGUGGAGUCGAUAAUGUAUUACGUCUUAGAAAUCUCCCGGGAGACAGAAGCCAAAUUAAAGAUAGUGACAUGUUGAAAAGAGUUGCGGAACUAAAGAUAGGGAAUAGAAUUGAUCUUUAUGUUUAUGCUUGUGUCUUCAUGUAGUUGUAGCUUACCGUUGAACUUAUGUAAUGCUAGUAAUGGGAUAUUUCAAUUUCACUUGUAUUUAUAUUAAUGUUCAGGCACUAUCCAUGGUUGUAUAUGUAUGUUUACUUCACAUAAAUAAGCAUUUUGGCAA
rnacentral:lncRNA from 1 species